CGAAGGGACACCGAGUCUGAAUAGGGCGACUACUUGCAUGCCGUAGACCCGAAACCGAGCGACCUAUCCAUGGGCAGGUUGCAGCGGAAGUAAAAUUCCGUGGAGGACCGAACCACGUUGGCGUUGAAAAACCAUGGGAUGACCUGUGGAUAGCGGAGAAAUUCCAAUCGAACUCGGAGAUAGCUGGUUCUCCUCGAACUAGCUUUAGGGCUAGCGUCUGGUUAUUGAGUAAUGGAGGUAGAGCACUGAAUGGGCUAGGGGCUGACAACAGCUACUGAACCCUAUCAAACUCCGAAUGCCAUAUACUAUUAACCCGGCAGUCAGACUGCGAG
rnacentral:rRNA from 1 species